rnacentral:rRNA from 1 species
GAUGAACGCUGGCGGCGUGCCUAAUACAUGCAAGUCGAGCGAACAGACGAGGAGCUUGCUCCUCUGACGUUAGCGACGGACGGGUGAGUAACACGUGGAUAGCCUACCUAUAAGACUGGGAUAACUUCGGGAAACCGGAGCUAAUACCGGAUAAUAUAUUGAACCGCAUGGUUCAAUAGUGAAAGACGGUUUUGCUGCCACUUAUAGAUGGAUCCGCGCCGCAUUAGCUAGUUGGUAAGGUAACGGCUUACCAAGGCGACGAUGCGUAGCCGACCUGAGAGGGUGAUUGGACAGACUGGAAGUGAGACACGGUCCAGACUCCUACGGGAGGAAGCAGUAGGGAAUCUUACGCAAUGGGCGAAAGCCUGACGGAGCAACGCCGCGUGAGUGAUGAAGGUCUUCGGAUCGUAAAACUCUGUUAUUAGGGAAGAACAAAUGUGUAAGUAACUAUGCACGUCUUGACGGUACCUAAUCAGAAAGCCACGGCUAACUACGUG